rnacentral:rRNA from 1 species
UACGUAGGGGGCUAGCGUUGUCCGGAUUUAUUGGGCGUAAAGAGCGCGUAGGCGGCUAGGUAAGUCCGACGUGAAAUCUGGAGGCUCAACCUCCAGCGGUCGUUGGAAACUACUUGGCUAGAGUCCGGAAGAGGAGAGUGGAAUUCCUGGUGUAGCGGUGAAAUGCGCAGAUAUCAGGAAGAACACCGAUGGCGAAAGCAGCUCUCUGGGACGGUACUGACACUGAGGCGCGAAAGCGUGGGGAGCGAACAGG